rnacentral:rRNA from 1 species
CAGCACCUCAAGUGGUCAGGAUGAUUAUUGGGCCUAAAGCAUCCGUAGCCGGCGCUGUAAGUUUUCGGUUAAAUCUGUACGCUCAACGUACAGGCUGCCGGGAAUACUGCAGCGCUAGGGAGUGGGAGAGGGAGACGGUACUCGGUAGGAAGGGGUAAAAUCCUUUGAUCUAUUGAUGACCACCUGUGGCGAAGGCGGUCUACCAGAACACGUCCGACGGUGAGGGAUGAAAGCUGGGGGAGCAAACCGGAUUAGAUACCCGAGUAGUCC